rnacentral:rRNA from 1 species
UACGGGGGGGGCAAGCGUUGUCCGGAAUCAUUGGGCGUAAAGAGCUCGUAGGCGGUCUGUCGCGUCGGCUGUGAAAACUCGGGGCUCAACCCCGAGCCUGCAGUCGAUACGGGCAGACUAGAGUGCUGUAGGGGAGACUGGAAUUCCUGGUGUAGCGGUGAAAUGCGCAGAUAUCAGGAGGAACACCGGUGGCGAAGGCGGGUCUCUGGGCAGUAACUGACGCUGAGGAGCGAAAGCGUGGGGAGCGAACAGG